UACCACAUUGGGGGCUUUUGAUUUUGACAUGGAAAAUGUGGAUAGAAAGGAAAAACCUUCUUUAGAAGAGUUCUAUUGUGAGUAUGAUGGGAAGAAACCGGUAUGUUGAUAACAAUUUACUUUUCGAGUUCGCAAGACUAUACUAAAUUUAGAUGGCAGAAUAGCUUCUUCCCUAUUCCUUACAAGUGUUAUGGGAAUACAUUGCACCUUUAAGAAGGUUACUUUUACUCAGUAUUCUUGUCAUUAGGAGCUUUCUUUAAGUAAUGUUCACAUUGUCAGAUGUUGAACCAUGUAACAGAUUUUGUUUAACGGCCUGGCUGACACUUGGCCAGCAAAGCAUACAUGGACAACAGACCAGUUACUGGUGAGCUAUGGUGAUACAUCAUUCAAGAUUUAUCAGAGAAGUUCGAGUAAAACAUCGAUGAAAUUCAAAGAUUAUGUCUCAUACAUGAAACUGCAACAUGAUGAGGAUCCCCUAUAUAUUUUUGAUGACAAGAUUUAAUUUUUGGGCAGUUUGGGGAAGUAGCACCAGGCUUGUUGAAGGAUUAUAAUGUGCCACAUCUUUUGGAAGAAGGCUUUUUUGAUGUCUUAGACAGAGAUCAACGACCUCCAUUUAGAUGUCUCAUUAUUGGACCAGAGAGGUCUGGUGCCUCAUGGCAUGUUGAUCCAGCUCUUACCAGUGCUCGGAAUACCCUUUUAUGCGGUCGUAAAAGAUGGGCAUUGUACCCUCCUGGAAGAGUACCUUUAGGUGUAAUGGUUCAUGUAAAUGAAGAAGAUGGUGAGGUCGUUAUUGAUACCCCAACUUCA